UUGGAAAUCACAGACUCAAACUAGAGGAAUUCAGGCACUGAAAGAAAACAUUUUCUUCUUUUCACUUUUUUCUUUCUUAAGGAAAAAAUAAAUCAUGUUUUUUCACAGGAAGAUAGCUUGGGGAAGCUGGAUCAUCAAACAGUGCAGAGCAAAUGAGCAGAGCAAAAAGGAAUCCGCGAGGACUGGAAAUGCCUGUCCGUAGCAGAGAGAUGGAGCAGGUCUCUGUGAAAAAGCAAGAUAGAGAUUAGGUGGAAUAUUCCCUGUGGCUGUGACUUGUACAGCACUGGGGAAGCUGGGUCAUGAGGAAAAAAGACCUCUUUGCUAAUGUUUGUGUGAAGUUGUGCUUGUGGCUAAAUUUGCUUCCCUCUUGCCUGCCUCUGACUCUGCCUGCAUCUCCAACAUGGAGCUAUUUCCCAGCCUAAACUACUGCUGCAGGGCGUGCAUUUUUUGAGGCAAUGAAAUCACAUCUUUGUCUCUGUAUAAGAACCAAAAAGAGAAGUUAUAUGUGAAGCAAAAAAUGAACUAAUGAGAAGUUGAAAACUGAGCAUCCAGUAUUUAAAAUAAUCUCCUGAGCAGUUUUAUUUAACAUAUUCCUCAUACUGGAAGUGAUUACUUUCUUCCUGUUUGUGGCCACAACCUUGUCAGUUUGGAUGAAGACAACCUAUUGCACCAGGACAGAUCAUAGCUCAAGAGCUCCAACUAGAACAUCAACCCCAAGGCCUGCCUGAUGCAGUGUUUGUACAACACUUAGCAUGAAGAGUCCAUUGAGCUGGGAAAAAUCAGCAGAAGUUAUUGCCAAGGACGGACUUGAUAAUCAGAUCUUGAAAAAGAAAAAAAAACCCUAGAAGUUUGUGCUUGUGCUGGAGUAAUUCCAGUUACAGG